AUCGAACGCUGGCGGCAGGCCUAACACAUGCAAGUCGAGCGAGCGGCGGACGCGUGAGUAAAGUGUGGGAAACUGCCGGAUGGCGGGGGAUAACUACAGGAAAAGGUAGCUAAUACCGCAUAGCAUCAGAUGUGCCCAGAUGGCAUUAGCUAGUAGGUGGGGUAACGGCUCACCUAGGCGACGAACCCUCCCUGGUCUGAGAGGAUGACCGGCCACAUUGGAACGAGGACCGGGCCAGGAUUCCAACGGGAGGCGGCGGGGGGGAAUAUUGCACAAUGGGGGCAAGCCUGAUAAGGCAAGGCGGCUUGGGGGAAGAAGGCCUGCGGGUUGAAAAGCACUUUCAGCGGGGAGACGUUACCCGCAGAAGAAGCACCGGCUAACUCCGUGCCAGCAGCCGCGGUAAUUC
rnacentral:rRNA from 1 species